UACGGAGGAUCCGAGCGUUAUCCGGAUUUAUUGGGUUUAAAGGGUGCGUAGGCGGCUUUUUAAGUCAGCGGUGAAAUUUUGCAGCUUGACUGUAACAGUGCCGUUGAUACUGGGGAGCUAGGAUUUGGUUGCUGUGGGUGGAAUGUGUGGUGUAGCGGUGAAAUGCUUAGAGAUCACACAGAAUAUCGAUUGCGAAGGCAGCUCACAAAGCCAAGAUUGACGCUGAGGCACGAAAGUGUGGGGAUCAAACAGGAUUA
rnacentral:rRNA from 1 species